rnacentral:rRNA from 1 species
ACAUGUCUACAACAUAGCGUUAAUGCACAAGAUCCCAUUAGAACUCUAUAGUUAAGCGCACUUGGGCUAGAGUAGUACUGGGAUGGGUGACCACCCGAAAAGUCCUAGUGUUUUACAUGCC